ACUACAGAAAAUUCACAACUAUAUUGCAGAGUAAGCUGUAUAGUUGUUUAUUUUAGUCUUGAUUUUUAGAUAAGCUUUUUGUAUUCUUCUGAUAGACAGUGUCUUGCAGAGUUGCAGUGAUGUUUACAAUGUGUUUAGAGUGUUGUUGUUUGUGGAGCUGAACAAUGCUUUACAUAUCAAGCCUUGAAGGUUCCUUUGUUUUCUUCUGGCACCCACAGUUUUACUCUAUUUAAAACUAAUAAUGGUUGCCUUUGCUUGUCCUUAUCCAAUGGAGUAGAAGAGUACAAGUAAACUAAAAUUGUUUUGUGACUUGCUUGGACUGUUUAUUCAUGCGAAGUUGCAGCCAGAUGUUGCAUAUUUGCAACGAAAAUUGAUGCUAUUCAUGAUGUACUUGAAGUCUUGAAACAACUCAGAUGUUCAUAAAAAAAAGUUCAUGCAUCUGCACUUGCUUUAAUUUUAAGCACUAGAUCCAUACUGCAUGAAUUUGUUGUAAUACUGGUUCAAAAAGAAAUAAAGUUAGACAGUUGAGAACUUCAUAAUCUUGAUUUUCAUUUCUUGGACUAAUUAAGAAGUAUCACGGUUGCAAAUCACUUGAUGUGCAAUACUAGAUGCUUCUUUAACAUGUUAUAGCUUGUGAUUCUAGAAUUCUGGUAGCACAAUGGAAGUUUACUCAUGAGUGACGUGCUUGCUAACCUUAGGAUGUGAGGCUUAAUUGCUCAAGUAUUUCCCAAGCCGGCCCAUCUUGGUGGAUUAAGCUGAGUUUGGAGAGGAAACAUAAUGGAAUUUUAUUUAUGAGUGAUGUGCUUGCUAACUUUUAUCCAUUCUGAACAAAGCUUAUGCUUUAGGAUGUGAGGCUCGCAUAUUUCCAAAAUCGGCCCAUCAUGGUUGAUUAAGCAAAUCUUGGAGAGGAAACCUGAAGUGGGUCGAACUUUGUUUCUCUCGACCCUCUCGUAUAUGUUCUUGUACGCAAUGCCUGUUUAGAGAUGACCUACUAAAUGGAUGCUUCCUCUUUUUCAUGGCAAUAAGGAAUUGAGGAUAUUCUGUAUGGGUUUAUGACUUGUGAGGUCUUUGUAGGAACAAUGAAUCUGAAGAAUGAAAUAUUGUCAUACUAUCAUUUUGAAGAUCUAGUGAAGCUUUUUGGGCUUUCUUUGUUGCUACAAAUCGAUAAAAUUUAGGAACCAAUUUAGCUUGUUCGUGAUAUAUAUAUUCUAUGUUGACGUUGCUGUUUUUGACUUCCACAGCCAGGAAUGGAGUACGGGAAGAACUGUUAUGCUGAUGAGCACUAUUUGCCGACUUUCUUCCAUCCUUUAAAUCUGCUCAGAUGACUGAUCCUGGGGGAAUAGCGAAUUGGUCGGUGACAUUUGUUGAUUAUUGGUCUGAAAGAAAGUGGCAUCCCAGGUCCUUCAGAGCUCAAGAUGUCACUUUUGAACUUCUAAGAAAUAUGACGGUAAUAUUUCUAUAUUACGAUUUUGUUUUGGCAGCUAGUGUUAAUGAAUAGCUUGGUAACUUUAUUUUGGCAUGAUGCAGUUUAUUGAUGAGAGUCUGCAUCUGACAAGUGAUGAGAAGGUAAUUUUUUUACUAAAGUAGAAUUUCAGAAAGGUAUCAAAUAUGUUUGUAAAGAUUUUCUCUAACACAUGAGGAUGGUGUCUUACAUGUUGUUACAAAAUCCAGUGACAGUUACACCAUGCAAGUGGAACGGACAGAAGCGAGCUUGUUAUCUAUUUGAUCGUAAAUUUUAUCCUGAGACAUUAGAAAAGUUGAUUAGUCUAUUCUCCAAUUAUACAGUGGUUUAGUGAGCCAAAUUCUUCAUUCUUUGGUCAAUUGAAAUGGUCGACCUAGUAUUUUUUUUUUUGGUAUAUAAUCAUUAGGAUGUAGCGAGGUUUGAAAGUGGAAUAUCCUCAGGUGCAGUAUGUUGCAGCUCAGCAGGUCCAAUGUUCCGAAAUGUUGGGUGAUCGGCUGAGCCAUCAGCAAUCCACCAUUGCUUGACUUGAGGACAAGGAGCCAAGGGCUAACUAAUUUGCAGUCCCUCCUGCUCUUUUUUAUAUUUGUUGUUUUUAUAUUAUAUUUUUUAUGUUUUUGAAUUUUGUAUAAUAAUUUUUUGUCAUUAGUAUCAAUCAAGAGUGUUUUAUUUUA